UAGUACCUAGCCCUUGGUAAUCAGGUUGGUAAGAUAUACAUAUGGGACACCACACAGAAUGAUGUCAUCAAGGGACGUCCAUCAGUGAUACUCUCUUCAGCUAAAUGCUUCACUGCAGUGAGACAAGUCACCUUCAGCAACGACAGCAAGACUAUCAUUGGUGUUUGUGAUAAUGGAACUGUAUGGAGGUGGGAUGCUAAAUCAUAAAGAACCAAUAAUACACUCACACACAAACUUAUUGUAAUACACUGUACAUCAGUAUACUGUGUAUACAGCAUUAUUUUUCUAACAAACAAUGAUACAUUUUAAUUAUCAUUCACUGAUGCUAAAAGUAAUAGUGUCAUGACUU